ensembl:lncRNA novel transcript
UAUUAUUUUCUAAGACUGGGAUAGUGACAGAGCCUGGAUUACAACUACUCUGGACUCAUAGUCCUAUGCUCAGACUAUUAGGCUGCCAUGAUAUUGCAGAGCUAGAAUUAUUACCAGUUAUCUAGAACAAAGUCACUACUAAUUCUAUUUUUAACUAGUACCUAAUUCACUGUUAUCUUUCAGGGACACUUAAAAGCUCCUUAGCUAAACUCAUUCUAUAGACGCUUUACAACAAGUAAAGCAAGUUUUAGGGCUAAAAUCACAGAGUCUGAAAAAGAGGCUUGUGUCCUGACCAUACCGCCCCAGACAAAAAAACAGAAUGAGUACUUCAUAAUGUACCAAAAAAGUCUAUCUGCUUAUCAAAAUAAAUAAAUAAAAAUAAA